CGCCCGUCAAACUACGAGAGGUAAGUAUAUCUAAAACCGCAAAAUUAACCUGCAAAGUGGAAUAUGCGUCUAGGAUAGAUUUACUGAUUGGAGUUAAGUCGUAACAAGGUACCCCUACGAGAACGUGGGGGUGGAUCACCUCCUUUCUUUGGAGUCAAAGUAAAUUAGUUUUUUAAUUAAUUUUUUAUUAUUGACCUUUAUUAUAUUUUUUAAGUGUACUUUUCUACUAACCAAGUAAGUAGUUAUUAUUUUUUAGUAAUUAUUUAUCAAGAUACAAUGGGGAUAGUCUUCGGAUUUGAGAAAACUUUCGUUUUUCUCAGAUGAUUGCUUUUUGACAACUGAAAAUAGACAAUCUUUCUGAUCUAUAACCAAAAUUUUUAAACAACUUUUUGGUUUGUAGUGAUGAUUAAAACCGAGUAAUUAACAAUUAAAUAAUUUUUAUUGAUCAAUACAAACGUUAUAAAUUAAUAAGAGUUAGUGGUGGAUUUCUUGGGAAUGGAAGGCGAUGAAGGACGUGUUAAUCUGCGAUAAGUGUCGGGGAGCUGAUAAAAAGCGAUUGAUCCGGCAAUUUCCGAAUGGGGGAACCCAGUAGUCAGAGAUGACUAUUAUUAUUAGUUGAAUUCAUAGACUAAUAAGGCGAUACCUUGCGAAGUGAAACAUCUCAGUAGCAAGAGGAAAAGAAAACGAAGUGAUUCCCUUAGUAGCGGCGAGCGAACUGGGAAGAGGCCAAACUAGAAUUUAUUCUAGGGUUGUAGGACAUUAAUAUGGACUUAAGAUUAAUAGCAGAAGUUGUUGGGAAGCAACGCCAUAGAAGGUGAUAGCCCCGUAUGCGAAAUUAGUUUUAUACCUAAAUGUAUCCUGAGUAGGGCGGGGCACGUGGAAUCCUGUCUGAAUCUGCCCAGACCAUUGGGUAAGCCUAAAUACUAACCAUUCUCCGAUAGUGGACCA
rnacentral:sRNA from 1 species